CUUUUAAUUAAAGCCCGGAAUAAACGAGGGGACGAUGUCCCSCCUUUCCCAGCCCUUCAAAAAGAAAUUGAUAUUUGCGUCAAAAAGAGCAACUAUUUGGGGGGACGAUAAGACCCCGUGAAACUUAAUUAAAUAUUAGUUUAUYUGAUYUCGAAUUUUAGAUUAAUUUUUUAUAAUUAAGCUGGGGCGGCAAUUAAUUYUYUYUAAAAAAAAAAACAUCCUAAAUGAAAAAGUCARAUCUUUAAAAACACAUAGAACAAGUUACUCCGGGGAUAACAGCACAAUUUUUCCAAACAGACCUUAUGGAAGGAAAAGACUUGUGACCUCGAUGUUGAAUUGAAAGACCCCGCACGAGCAAAAACCUGCCCAGGGAAGUCUGUUCGACUUUUA
rnacentral:rRNA from 1 species